rnacentral:rRNA from 1 species
GAUGAACGCUGGCGGCGUGCCUAAUACAUGCAAGUCGAGCGAACAGAUAAGGAGCUUGCUCCUUUGACGUUAGCGGCGGACGGGUGAGUUACACGUGGAUAACCUACCUAUAAGACUGGGAUAACUUCGGGAAACCGGAGCUAAUACCGGAUAACAUAUUGAACCGCAUGGUUCAAUAGUGAAAGGCGGCUUUGCUGUCACUUAUAGAUGGAUCCGCGCCGUAUUAGCUAGUUGGUAAGGUAACGGCUUACCAAGGCAACGAUGCGUAGCCGACCUGAGAGGGUGAUCGGCCACACUGGAACUGAGACACGGUCCAGACUCCUACGGGAGGCAGCAGUAGGGAAUCUUCCGCAAUGGGCGAAAGCCUGACGGAGCAACGCCGCGUGAGUGAUGAAGGUCUUCGGAUCGUAAAACUCUGUUAUUAGGGAAGAACAAAUGUGUAAGUAACUGUGCACAUCUUGACGGUACCUGAUCAGAAAGCCACGGCUAACUACGUG